rnacentral:rRNA from 1 species
GGGGAAUAUUGCACAAUGGGGGAAACCCUGAUGCAGCAAUGCCGCGUGUGUGAAGAAGGCCUGCGGGUUGUAAAGCACUUUUAUCAGGAAAGAACCUGCCUGGGACUAAUAAGCUCAGGCACUGACGGUACCUGAGGAAUAAGCACCGGCUAACUCCGUGCCAGCAGCCGCGGUAAUACGUAGGCACCAAGCGUUGUUCGGAAUUACUGGGCGUAAAGCGAGUGUAGGCGGUCUGCCAAGUCGGUUGUGAAAUCUCCCGGCUUAACUGGGAGGGUGCGACUGAAACUGGCAGGCUGGAGUGCGGGAGAGGAGAGUGGAAUUCCUGGUGUAGCGGUGAAAUGCGUAGAUAUCAGGAGGAACACCGGUGGUGAAGACGGCUCUCUGGACCGCUACUGACGCUGAGACUCGAAAGCGUGGGGAGCAA